rnacentral:rRNA from 1 species
UACAGAGGUCUCAACCGUUGUUCGGAUUCAUUGGGCGUAAAGGGUGCGUAGGCGGUCGCGCAAGUCGGAUGUGAAAUCUCAGGGCUCAACCCUGAAACUGCAUUCGAUACUGCGUGGCUAGAGUGCUGGAGAGGAGACUGGAAUUUACGGUGUAGCAGUGAAAUGCGUAGAUAUGCGGAGGAACACCGAUGGCGAAGGCAAUCCCCUGGGCCUGCACUGACGCUCAUGCACGAAAGCGUGGGGAGCAAACAGG